CGCAUGGGGAAGCGAUCUCCCCACGAGGCGACAUGCCCAAGAAUCGGGUCCAGUUUUCCACCAAGGGCGCAUCAUG
rfam:Methylocystis sp. strain SC2 plasmid 1.